rnacentral:rRNA from 1 species
CACGUAGGGGGCGAGCGUUGUCCGGAUUUAUUGGGCGUAAAGAGCUCGUAGGCGGCUCAGUAAGUCGGGUGUGAAAACUCCAGGCUCAACCUGGAGACGCCACCUGAUACUGCUGUGGCUAGAGUCCGGUAGGGGAGCAUGGAAUUCCUGGUGUAGCGGUGAAAUGCGCAGAUAUCAGGAGGAACACCAGUGGCGAAGGCGGCAUCCUGGACCGGUAUUGACGCUGAUGCGCGAAAGCCAGGGGAGCAAACGGG